rnacentral:rRNA from 1 species
AGAGUUUGAUCCUGGCUCAGAGCGAACGCUGGCGGCGUGCUUAACACAUGCAAGUCGAACGCGCAGCAUCCUGUAGCAAUACAGGGUGUGGGCGCGUGGCGAACGGGUGCGUAACACGUGGAUAACCUUCCUUCAGGUGGGGAAUAACCCAGUGAAAAUUGGGCUAAUACCGCAUAACAUGACGAUGCCACAUGGUGUUGUCUUCAAAGCCGCAAGGCGCCAGAAGAGGGAUCCGCGGCCGAUUAGCUUGUUGGCGAGGUAAUGGCUCACCAAGGCUUUGAUCGGUAGCCGGACUGAGAGGUUGGCCGGCCACACUGGAACUGAGACACGGUCCAGACUCCUACGGGAGGCAGCAGUGGGGAAUCUUGCACAAUGGACGAAAGUCUGAUGCAGCAACGCCGCGUGGGGGAUGAAGCUUUUCGGAGUGUAAACCCCUUUCGACCCGGAAGAAUGCCCGCAAGGGUUUGACGGUACGGGUAUAAGAAGCCCCGGCUAACUACGUGCCAGCAGCCGCGGUAAUACGUAGGGGGCCAGCGUUGCUCGGAAUUACUGGGCGUAAAGGGUCCGUAGGCGGUGUGGCAAGUCGGGAGUGAAAUCUCUGGGCUUAACCCAGAGGCUGCUUCCGAAACUGCCAUGCUAGAGUGUGAGAGAGGCGAGUGGAAUUACGGGUGUAGCGGUGAAAUGCGUAGAUAUCCGUAGGAACAUCCGAGGCGAAGGCGGCUCGCUGGAUCACAACUGACGCUGAGGGACGAAAGCUAGGGGAGCAAACAGAUUAGAUACCCUGGUAGUCCUAGCCCUAACCAUCAUGACUUGGGGGUGUGCCCUGU